UUUGUGGGGAGGUUGAUUAUGUGCUUUGAUGGAUGAUUUUGGCUGGAGGUUGCCAUUAUUUUCUACCCAAAAUGAUGGCUGGCAUAGUUAACUUGCCUUGUUAUGCAUGAUGAUUUUGGAUUAGUAUGCGUCCCAAAAUCACGGUAACCACAUUUCCCCUCCUCCCACCACUCACCAUCGACCCACCAGAGAAGCGGCGCCGGCGCCGGCGUGCAUCGGCCUCUCCGUGCGCGCGGCUCCGUCGAGCUCGCCCCGACCGCGUCGUGCGCGUGGCCGAGGGUCUGCGCUGCGGUGCUCCACGACGGCGGCGAGUUGCCGGCCACCAGGACGCGGCGGCGGCGGCGGGCCGUCGUCCGCCAUCUCACCCGUUUGCGAGCCGAAGCAGGGGCGGCCAGCAGCGGAGAGGGAUCCGUCCUGGGCGUCUCCUCCGGCGUGCUCGCCGGUAACGGCGGCCGCCCCCGACGCGCGCAGCUGCAGGGUUUCCCGGCGCACAGGGACUCGGAUCUUGGAGACACUGGAUCGAGUUCGCUCAUGAAUAGCCCUGCACCUUUCUCUCUGUUUACACGCGCUGCAAAUAUUCAGUUACAGUGUUCGAGGCCGUGAUUCAGUUCGUCGGGCUGAACCCAAUGAUCUACUACGACGACACCCUCAUCGGCACCAUCACUCUUCUACAAGCAAGGAUUAAGAGUCGCUUGAAUUUCCCUCAUGUGUACUGAUGUUCCCCCCUAAUAUACAGCACCUUUUUGCUGUUUGGAGAUUUUGCCAGGGUGAAAGUUUGGAUACUGUUGGUGAAGGGCUUGAAAUUCUGAAAAACAUGGUAGGUGCUGAUAUAAAUUCGGUUGCUUUUUUCUAGUUGAACGAUGGUAGGAAUCACAUGAAUUUUACUCUUGUGGUGCUUCCGGCUUCCCUGCUCCGUUUGCUAUUUUGGUAUAUUCCAAGAUGCAUAAUCUGAGAUGAUUCCUGUAGAUUUUAUUUCAUGUGUUUCAUUUGAUGGUCAUUAUAAUUACCAAACUUGCUAGAUGCAGAUUAAUAUUGUGAAGUAUAUAUAGUCCAUUAAAAUCCUAAUAUUUUCUCGAACCGAACCAGUUCGAAAAUGAUUGCUAUUCAUUGAAUCUUUGUGCUUGUGAUUUGACAUAAUUUAAUAUUGAUGCCUUUUUCUUGCUCCACUUUGUUUCUUGAUUUAGCUGAACUAGUACAUUUGUUGUUUCUUAAGGAAUAAUCUUAAUUGUCCCUGGUUUCUGUAUCAUGGAUUAUUUAGAUUACCAUGAUAAGUAUCUGUACUUAUGUAGGAUCAGAAUGCACAUACAUUUGUUUUUGGUUCCUUAUUUAGUUUGGUAUAUGUACUUGAGCAUCUCUGUGAGUAUAGGUGCAUGCACUGCUGGUAUGAUCCAAUCGUCGCAUGGUUCCGUUUGAUCCAAUCGUCGCGCGCUUCCGCGAUCAUGCUUGAACUAUUGUGUACAAUAUCGUCGCCUUAUUAUUUUGCAGUCCUUUCGAAAUAUCUGUAUUUGCUUUGCUUAUCAUGCUCUGUUUAUUUUGUCCGAGGAUAACGAGGAGGACUGAGCGACCGUAGUGGCCCCUUCUUCUUCGACUCCAUGUCUUUUAUGGGGUCUUGGCCUUGCGCACCGAAGUCCCUCGCAGACGUGCUUGGCGCUGGUAGCAUCGGCUUGCCUCCGGGUGCUUAGGUUCGAGGCCGUGAUUCACUUUGCUGGAAAAUCAAUGGCGGCCCGUGCCCAGCAGCCCCCGCACGUCGGCGGUCCGGUCUGGGUAGGUCCGGCCGUACCAGCUCCGACGACGACGGCCUCCCUCGUCGGCAGGCUGCACGGCGUGAGAUACCUCCUGCUGCUCCCGGCCGAAGGUGGGCUGGUCCGGUGAGACCCGGCUCCUCCAGGUGCGCCAGCGCUGCCUGGAAAGGGAGGCCGACCUCCCUUCUCCACACACCGACCACCUCCCUGCCACGAACUCCGAACUCCUGCUGUUGCAUGCCGGUAAGAAGAGGAAAGACACUAUCUGCACUGUCCUUGCGCGCGGAGGACACUUAUGAGGAGCCUAAAGUUAGGAUGGAAAAGGUCGUAGGAAGAACCUGACGUGAAAUAUGGGAAUCGUAUCCGCACUCAUCCAAUUGGUGAUACAGUUGAAGGCAUUACUGAAAACUAUUUGAUGCCUUCUUGAAAUGGUUCAUGUUUGGGUCUGGUGGUGGUACAACCAGCCCAAGGCGGCGGUGGUGAUGGCGAGGAUGGAUCAGGAAGGAGCCCACUCGGUCUGCGCCGGGGACGGGAACGAUAACUACCCGCAGGGUAUGAUUACUGGCCACGUGUAUUACUUCCUGGAAGAUGUGAACCCUCUGGUGACUGGCCAGCAUCCUGUGAAGACUCCUUUGUUCAUCAAGACUGAUGUUUGCUGACAACAAUCUGGUGGUGGCUUGGCCAACCAACGCCGGGCUCGGUCCGGGUGCAAGGUUUGGUUCUAUGGAGUAUGGACCCACAGUUCCAAUGAUCACCCGAUGUCCAUGACAUGCGACAGAUCUAGGAAAGCGAAUUCUUUUAUUCCUUCAUAUUGUGAGGUUGUGCGAUGCAAGGUCCGCGUGUACUUAUGCAUGCUAGAUCAUUGUUAUUGUGCAUAACGAAGAUAUGUGACUGGCAAGGACAACGACGAGCCAGUUUAGCUGUGACAUGUAGCUGCUGCAGGUUAGUGCAUCUGGGGGAUAGGGGAUGUCGUCAUCGUAUAUGUGCCUUGGUCGUCGAACAAUCUAUAUGCGCCUUAUCAAUUUCGUUGAUGUUUCUUGUUCAUUAUUGUUUUACACCUCUUGUAUAUUUGAAUGUCAAAUUUGUUGUGUUGUGUGCACUCUAGCAAGUUUUUGAUGUACAGUAAAUACUUGCUAUGUUAUCAUGAUGUCUGAGAAAGAGACUUUCGAGCU